GACGAACCGUGCGAACGUUGUUCGGAAUCACUGGGCUUAAAGGGCGCGUAGGCGGGCUGUCAAGUCUGGGGUGAAAUGCUGCGGCUCAACCGUAGAACUGCCUUAGAUACUGACGGCCUCGAGGAAGGUAGGGGGCAUGCGGAACUGUAGGUGGAGCGGUGAAAUGCGUUGAUAUCUACAGGAACUCCGGUGGCGAAAGCGGCGUGCUGGACCUUUUUCUGACGCUGAGGCGCGAA
rnacentral:rRNA from 1 species